GCAUCCGUUGCUACUCUAAUGCAUUUUGUGCUGUAACAGAACUCUGCUUUCAAGCAAAAUGUUGUCUAUGGUAUUCUAGUGAGUGAGUGCAUAUUUGGAGGUGGAUUGUGAUUCCUCAGAAUAUGAUCUUUUGCUGUUAACUUUCAACAUUAGCAUAUAAAACCCUAUUGGAGAAGCUCAGAGCAGUAACCCUCAGCUGCAGCUCUGCAGAGAAGUGCUGCAGUGCUGCUGGAGGAGUGCCAAAUGAAGGCCAGAGUCUGAUGCUGAGUGGUGUUUGUUGAAAGCUUCUCAAGAAUGCUGUGCCUUAUCUGCUUUAUUGACAGGAGCUCUAAUCAUCUGAAACAGGAUUUGAAAUGAAGAGUUUUGUGAUGCAGGAGAUAUCUGUACACACAGCUACCGAGUACAAGAAGGUUGACGCACCGACACUGCCAUGGUGGCUUUGCCAAGUUAUGAAAGGAUCACCAGGAGGUGAGAAGUGCUCACACAGACCCAAAGAGCACUGCCAAGCUCUGCUGCUGCCAGCCUCCUCUCAAUCCAAGCAGUUCAUGUUUUCUGACUGUCUGUUGAACAACAGUGAACGCUAAAGCCUUCUAACAGAUUCAGCAGGACAGUGAAAACAAGCAACCCGCAGUGUCUGUCCUAAACCAAAUUGUGAGUAGAAACAGCAAAUGUGCAGGAGGUGGCAGAAGACACGAAACCACAAGUAAUUAUGACAAGAAUUCCCCUAGCCUGUCCUUUUUUUAAAUAGGCAUGCAUGGAAGAAGGCUGAAGCAGACCUAAUAGCUCACCUGAUGGAGCCUGCUGGUCCCUCUGUGAGUUCACUCACUAAUCUGUAUGCAUGGCCAAAACAAUACAAUGGAUAAAUAUAAUGGAUAAUCAUUUACUACCACAUCAGUGAGCUGAAAUGCCUCAGUAAGAGAUCUGAUGAACACCAAAACUGGUGAAAAGGAAAAUUUAGAUUGCUCAGUUUAGAGCUGAUAGAAAGUGAAAUCUUCCUGGCAGUAGCAAGCAUCAUAAAAGCUCUGCUCAAAAGGAUACAAAGUGCAAGAACUGCAUGGAUUAAAAAAAAUCUGGAAGAAGCUCAAGUCCACUUCAGGAGAAUGUAAUUUAUUCAUUUAACUUAGAAAAUAAUGAAAGCAAGAGAUGGUAGAAGUCCUUAAACAAAUAAAUUAAACAUUUCAACCUGAGCUCUCCACUAGCACCACCAGUGAAUCAGAAACUCUGUGAAGAACAAUGGGCAGAAAUCCAUCUUGGUGUUCUGCUGAAGAUUUGAGAGAGAAGAGAAGACUAUUUAAUUCGUUCUUUUCCCCAUAUCCUGCCACUUCUUCCUGAUUUAUCUUCACUUUAAAAUAUUUUUCUUUACAUCUAAUGUAAAUUACUGUAUUUCAAUUUAUGUCUAAUGCAUUUUGUUUUGCCUUCAUGCACCUUUUUUGUAACUGCCAUCAGCUUUUUGGAAACACUGAUAAGAUCUCUCCUUCCCUCUUUCUUCCCCAAGCUGAACUUGCCCAUCUCCCUCAGGUUCUAUUUGUACAUCCCAUGUUGCAGCCCCCAGCUGUUGUGGAGCCUCUAUCCCCUCCACACUCUCAGAGUCCAGCAGAAGACAUUCCUGUCUGGCACUCACUUCAGUUUUUUCCCUAUUACUAUGUUAGGCAAAGAAUUACCUGCAGACCUUGCACAGCUCUUGAUUAGUUUCUGGUUUAAGACAUGGAAGGUCAGGUAUAACUCGUUCUAGUACCAUAAAGGAAGGUUUUGUUUCUCCUAAUGGCCAUGCCAUAUCAAGGAAAGGGAAAACCCUGUCCUACCCGACUGUCAUCAGCCAUGAAAGAGCAAACAGUUACAGAGAGCACAUGUACUAAUUAAUUAAAAGCAAUUGGGUUUCCUUGUGUGCUUGUGCUAUUGCAGGCCAAAUACAGGCACAUCUUGCAGAGCUCUCAGCUGCACACCAGGACUGAGCCACUGGUGAAGAGGACAGACUUCCCCUGAGAACUUGAGCAUAUCCAGGACCCAUGGCACGAUUUGUUUUUGCCUCAGCGUGUUGCCUAACACUUAUUUAAAAAAAAAUAAUUAAUAUACUACGAAAGGCUCAUUAGUUGUUACCUCCUGACUUCUUUGCUCUGUUCAUUCUUUAUUUUCUGAUCUGUAUUUCCAAGUACAAAUCUGUCUUCUUUUGCAUGAGAAAGUCUGUCUCUGAGUUUUGGAAUUAAGAUUUGUACAGUCAAAAUACAGUUAAAUUUACAUAUUUUAUUGUGCCCCAGUUUCAUGUUUCCAAGAUUUUUGUUUAGGGUGUAAGUUCAUUAGAUAUUUCUGAAGUUGUGAGUAAGAUAAGUUGACCUCAAAUUCUGUUCUUAACAUGAAAGUCUUUUUAAUCUUUCUUUUUUAAAUGUAUUUAAAAGUCUAUCAGUGUCUUGUUGAAAUAAGUUCCUUUUAAUACAAGACUUCCUGAAUCUCACCAGAGUGAGUGCUGGCUGAAUUCUGACAUCAGCACUGAGCCCAAAAGUUCUUUAAUAUUUUUUAGUUUGUACAAAGAAAAUUCAGACUUAAAAAUCUCCUUUGUAAUCUUGAAUGUAGAUAUCACCUGCCACAUGUGCUGCUUUUGCAUUUUGAAUACUUUGGUACCUAUUACCUUUGCAUUCUGGUACUCCUUUGAAUGUUGCACUUAAUUGAAGAGGAUUGUUGCACAGGCACAAAUAAAUGUGAAAAUUCUCA